rnacentral:rRNA from 1 species
UACGUAGGGUGCAAGCGUUAAUCGGAAUUACUGGGCGUAAAGCGUGCGCAGGCGGUUGUGCAAGACCGAUGUGAAAUCCCCGGGCUUAACCUGGGAAUGGCGAUGAAGACUGCAAGGCUAGAAUCUGGCAGAGGGGGGUAGAAUUCCACGUGUAGCAGUGAAAUGCGUAGAGAUGUGGAGGAACACCGAUGGCGAAGGCAGCCCCCUGGGUCAAGAUUGACGCUCAUGCACGAAAGGCGUGGGGAGCAAACAGG